CACAUCCCCUCCUGGCUCUUCUUUGUGUGUUGCUUGUGUCACUUCGUACCGAACCCUAAUGUACAGAAAUCACAGAAAUCACUCCAUUUCGACCUCGCCUUAGCUUUGCAGGUAACCCUAAUCUCUUCCACGCCUUUAUCACUCUUCCUAUUCGCUGCUACAUUGAUGCCAGCCUUUCCUCCUGUUUGCCAUUUUUCAUCAAACUUUUUUGCAUCUCGUCCGAUUCACCACCUUUCCUUGAACUUUGCAACACACUGUCGUCGUUCUAGUCCUGGUAUGGUUUCUGUCAUCCAAUUCUUAUUGUUUUUGCUGUUUUCUUACGCAUGCAUAGCUAUUUUGUUUUAUUUUUCUUUUGCUUUGUUUCUUUUUUUCUUUCUCCUUCGUUUUCCUUCUCACACUUCUAGAUCUGCUACAACUCAUAGAAUUUUUCUGUUCCAGAAUAUCGAGAAUCUAUCCUCAUAUUCGGUUAAUUUCUGAACUUAUCACUUUCAGUUUUCUGAAUUUUUAUUUUCAUGUUUGAAAUACUGAUAGUGUAGAUUUUGUUAUUCAAUUAGUUCAUUCUUUUUUCAAUUAUUGAGAUGAUUAUAUGGCUUUAAAUCUAAAAUAUGAGCAAUACAAAUCUAUUUGUAAAAUAUUUCCUAUUGUAACGUUUUAGUUUGGAGUGUUCUAUUUUACUCACUCUGAAUUCUACAUGCAUCAUAGAUCAACUUAUUCUUCAAUCCUAUGCAGAACAAGAGCUAAUAGAAUAGCAGUAAUGUCUGUGAAGAUUUUACAUAGGAAUUAGAAUGUGUAGAUGGCAUAUGCAACAUUAAGAUAAAACUAUAUUUAUUAACUUGAUGACCUUUUUUAUUUAAGAAUCAUUUGAGAUCUCACGUGGCCAAGGUUGUGGUGGUGAACACUAUUAAUCAACUUUUCUUUCUUUUUUCCCCUUCAAUUUUGUAAAAGUAGAGAAUGACUUUAAAAUCCAUGUUCAAUCAUGUCAUCUCAUGGAAUGUAUGGAUUUUCUCCGUUGUCUUGUAAAUUCAAGAGCUCGAUAAACAAUAUGCUAAGCUAGAUAUGCUUUUGAGAAGGCUCAAGGUAAGCAUUCUCACCCUUAAACACACUUGUAACAAAAAAUUUACAUUGAUAAUGAAUCGGUUUUGUUGUUUUUAUGAUGAACACUAAGAUAUACUUGUACUAGUGUCUUAACAUAAAUAUGAUAAAUACAAAAGCGGUCAAUCCAGGUAAAAUAUUGAUAUUAAGGGUUAUACAACCAUAUAAAUACUUUUCUUCUUGAAUUUAUCCCAAUACACUUCAUAUUUUUGUGGAUGUAGGGUUGGGAUUCCAUGUUGAAUUUACUUGGUUUGAAGCUUUGAACUACAUACAGAAAAGGGAAGAAAGGAUAGCUAAGUAAGAUAUUUUCACUUAACAUAAUUUGUAUAGCUAAAACAUCAAGAUCAAUCUGCCUUAUAUGCCCUUCCAGGUUUUCUUCUGAAAUUUUAAGCAACAAUAUAUGCCUUACUUAAAUGGAAUGGUUUAAAGGACAAUGGAUUGGAACAAAAUCUUUAGUAAAAUUGUAGCCCAAGAUCCUCAUGUUUUCUGUGCUAAACAUCGUCUGCAUCAAUGACCACCAUGAGUGUUUUAUUAUACAUCUCAAAUUAAGUGAUAAACAUGAACUGAACUACUCAAUUUUACUUAGACAUUAACAUUAGUACUAUGGCUUGGAGCUGAACUGAACAUGGUUAGACUAAAAGGUCGCAGUUGAUAAUUGAUCAGUGUAUAGAAUUUCUCUGGCUUGUAAGUUGGAAUACUUGGUCACUUACCAAGUCCUCAUUAAAAGAAAAUAUAGCCUGAGCAUUUUGAGCAUUGUUGUGUUAUAAAAGGAUGGUAUCUAGUCAACGGGUGGUUCAAAAUUUGAAACUAUGUCACAUCAUAUUGGCCUAGGAACAAUUAUAUAUAUGCACUAUGCAGAUACUUGUGACUGUUAGUUAUGUAAUUGAUUAUGUGAAGAUUUUAACUUCUUUAAUUUAUUCUACUUUGGCAAUCAAUUGUGAAAAAUCUUUGCCCUUUUAUUCUCUUUUCUUUUUGUCUAGACGGAGGAGGGGGAGGGGGAGGGGGAAUGAGUUUCUCUUAUUUGCUUUUCCAUUUGAAGUUUGAAAAUAAUGCUAAUUGGUUUUAAUAAUAAUAAUGUUGCAAAUUCAAAUUUAGGACAUGGCUUUUUUAUUUCAGGCAAAUAGAUGAGUACAAUCAGUCAUUUCAUUAAUUAAAGCGCAGAUCAAGCUGGAAGAAUGUGGAGAUUCCUAUCUUGAAAGCUAGUGCAAGAAUUGCAUCUCGACUUAAUUAUGUUUGUCCUCAGUUCUUUCCAGCCCCAGGAUUUAGUUCCCGCAGCAAAUCAGACAAAGGAGGAUUUAGUUCCCAUAGCAAAUCAAAAUAUGAUGAUUCAGGAACCUUGGUUGUGUGAUUCUACUGUUCCUUCUUGUUUGGAAAAUAUAAGGAGAUAUGACUUGGAGAUAGUUCUUCUUGGAGCCGGUUCAUCCCAACAAUCCAAGUACAGAAACGUGAGUUCAAUAUAUAUAAAUAUUUUCUCAAAAAGAGGUUUGCUCUUGGAUUCUGGUGAAGGAACCUUGGGAUAACUCAAAAGAAGGCAUGUCCAUCUGCAUUCUUUAAACACAUUUUUACCGUACUGCAUUUGUUUUCUAUUUUAAUCUGAAUAGAUAAUUAACACAUCCUUCAGAAACAGAUAUGGCGUAAGUGGUGCUGAUGAUGUUGUGAGAGCUGUAAGAUGCAUUUGGAUUUCACAUAUCCAUGCUGAUCACCACACUGGCUUGGCUAGGAUCCUUGCUCUGCGCCGUGAAUUGCUGAAGGGGGUGCCUCAUGAACCAGUUCUUGUCGUAGGGCCAAGGCAGCUUAAGAGAUAUUUAUAUGCUUACCAAAGACUCGAAGAUUUGGAUAUGCUAUUUUUAGAUUGCAAGCACACCACAGCAGCUUCAUUGGAUGGUUUUUAGGAUGGCUGUGACCUGGAAAAUAAUAAUAGAUUUAGGAGGUAAUCCAGGAAGCUGGUCUGAAAUCCAUGAUGAGUCGAGAUCUGUGACCAAGGCUCCUGCCAUGAUGGGUUAGUAUAAUUCUGAUAUGUUUUCUUAGUUUUUUCCUAUACAAUUUGCAUGGUUUAUGUCAUGUGCUUCUUUUGAGCUAUAGAUUGGGUCUAGUUUCAUUAUCAUAAAUAUAAAUUCCAUACUGAAUAAAUAAAUGAACAAUAAACAUGCUAAUGCUUAUUAAUCCACUUUUCUUUUUAUUUAUUUUAUAGUUUGAUUCCAUUGAUUUUCUUUGACGUGGAGUUAACUUUUUGGUAUUCCCUGUUUUUCAUGGUUGUUAGUAACGGGCACAAGAGCUGAUGAAGAGACAAUUGACAGAUUAAUUGAGACUGGAGACAGUGAGUACAUCUUUUAGAAGGCAAUUCAGGAACAAGGAAGAGGACAUGUUUGUCUCAUUCUGAUACUUUCUCCAUCUCUUCCUCUUCAUUUUCUUAUUUAAUUUUCUAGUUCUUUUAUGUAUUAUUUAAGUUUUUUUUAACUCUAUAAGAUAUAUGUUAUUUUUGUUAACAUACCUGAAAGUUCAUGACAAGAUAGAUUUUCCAUGUUUUGAUUGCAGAUUAUCUAUAGUGUUCCCUUUGCUGUCACAGCGGAGUUGACUGUUGAUUCAGGUGGUGGCCAACGUUAGUAUGCAAUGCUGAAGAUGUGUGCUUAAUAUUUGAUCAACUAAGAUAAGUUUCUGAUUUCAUGACAUUCAAUUGUAUGUGCAGGAUUGGCUAUAAGAGUUCUAAAUCUUCCAAUCAUUGUUCCACAGGUAAUUUAUUAUUCUCAAAUAUUGUUGUUAUGAGUCCACUCAUGGAUUAGACUCUUGUGCAAGGGCUACUUGAUUUUGUUUUGUUUUGCAUAAGAUAAAAUUAGUUUUGAAAAUUAAAUUUAAAUUAAUUUAUUUAACUUGCUAAAAAUAUGUUUAAAGCGGAAAAAAUUAGCUUCCAAUUUUGUUGCAAUAAAUUUAUUUGACUUGCUAAAAAUAUGUUUAAAGCGGAAAAAAUUUGCUUCCAAUUUUGUUGCAAUAAAUAUUGUUUAUGCUAACUUUAUAAUAGUUUGUUACGUGAGCUAGAUGAGAUAAAAUCAGUUUUAAAAUUUAAAUUUAAAUUAAAUAUUUAUGUGGAAAUUGAGUAUUCUGGGUUUAUUUAUGUGGAAAUUGAGUGAUUAGAGUGGUGAGAAAACAAGACUACAACGGCUUGGGGUAGUAUUAAGCUGUAUCCACUUGCCCCUUUUUCUUUGUUUUCUCUUAUUUUGGAGAUUUAAUUUUUGUACUUUUUCAUGUACUUUGCAAAAAAUCAAUACUCUUUUGAGUCAAUUUGCUCCAUAUAUUAGGAUGCAUUCUACAUAUUGUACUAGUCAUGGUUAGUCCUAAUGGAUUUAAUUGACAUAAUUUUUAUUAGGAUAUUGUGUAAUGAAUUUUUUUGCCAUAACAAGUGAAUCACUUUUAUUAUUGACUUUUUCCCAUGUAUUUUUCUCUGUUGUGUACUUUUACUGACAUGUAGUAUUUUGAAA